GACGAACGCUGGCGGCGUGCCUAAUACAUGCAAGUCGAACGCAGUGGGGAUGGGUGAGUAACACGUGGGUAACCUCCCAUCAGAGGGGAUAACACUUGGAAACAGGUGCUAAACCGAUACUGAUGGAUGGACCCGCAGUGCAUUAGCUAGUUGGUGUGGUAACGGCGCACUAAGGCCACGAUGCAUAGCCGGCCUGAGAGGGUGAUCAGCCACACUGGGACUGAGGCACGGCCCAGACUCCUACGGGAGGCAGCAGUAGGGAAUGUUCGGCAAGGGACGAAAGUCUGACCGAGCAAUGCCGCGUGAGUGAAGAAGGUUUUCGGAUCGUAAAACUCUGUUGUGAGAGAAGCGGUAUCUAACCAGAAAGCCACGGCUAACUACGUGCCAGCAGCCGCGGUAAUUC
rnacentral:rRNA from 1 species